rnacentral:ncRNA from 1 species
CAAAGGUUUGGUCCUGGCCUUUCCAACAACUCUAGCUUAACUUACACAUGCAAGUAUCCGCACUCCCGUGAGAAUGCCCUACAGUUCCCUGUUCGGGAACAAGGAGCUGGUAUCAGGCACAUCCUACUCAUAGCCCACGACGCCUUGCUUAGCCACACCCCCAAGGGAAUUCAGCAGUGAUAAAUAUUAAGCCAUAAGUGAAAACUUGACUUAGUCAAAGCUAAGAGGGCCGGUAAAACUCGUGCCAGCCACCGCGGUUAUACGAGAGGCCCAAGUUGUUAGACAUCGGCGUAAAGCGUGGUUAAGAUAACCCCAAAACUAAAGCCAAACACCACCCCCACUGUUAUACGUUCACGGAGGCAGGAAGUCCAAUCACGAAAGUAGCUUUAUAAUAUCUGAGCCCACGAAAGCUAGGACACAAACUGGGAUUAGAUACCCCACUAUGCCUAGCCGUAAACACAGACAGUCCACAUACCCUACUGUCCGCCCGGGAACUACGAGCAUCAGCUUAAAACCCAAAGGACUUGGCGGUGCUUUAAACCCACCUAGAGGAGCCUGUUCUAGAACCGAUAAUCCCCGUUCAACCUCACCCUUCCUUGUUCUUUCCGCCUAUAUACCACCGUCGUCAGUUUACCCUGUGAAGGUCAAACAGUAAGCACAAUCGGCAUAGCCCAAAACGUCAGGUCGAGGUGUAGCGUAUGGAAGGGGAAGAAAUGGGCUACAUUCCCUGAAGUCAGGGCAUACGGAUGACAUACUGAAAUGCAUGUCUGAAGGAGGAUUUAGCAGUAAGCAGGAAGUAGAGUGUCCCGCUGAAACCGGCUCUGAAGCGCGCACACACCGCCCGUCACUCUCCCCGAGCUAAGAUUCUUAAGUAACUAAAACCCUAUAACUGUAAAGGGGAGGCAAGUCGUAACAUGGUAAGUGUACCGGAAGGUGUACUUGGAACAAACAUAC